rnacentral:rRNA from 1 species
GAUGAACGCUAGCUACAGGCUUAACACAUGCAAGUCGAGGGACCGGCGCCCGGGUGAGUAACACGUAUCCAACCUGCCCUUUACUCGGGGAUAGCCUUUCGAAAGAAAGAUUAAUACCCGAUAUAAAGGAUGGGGAUGCGUUUUAUUUGGUUGUUGGUGAGGUAACGGCCCACCAAGCCUUCGAUGGAUAGGGGUUCUGAGAGGAAGGUCCACCAGAUUGGAACUGAGACACGGUCCAAACUCCGAGGGGAGGCAACGGAGAGGAAUAUUGGGCAAUGGGGGCUAGCCUGAACAAGCCAAGUAGCGUGAAGGAUGAAGGCUUAUGGGUCGUAAACUACUGUUAUAUAAGAAUAUGUAUUAUAUGAAUAAGGAUCGGCUAACUCCGUGCCAGCAGCCGCGGUAAUAC